GUCACGUUACUUUUAGGUCUUUUCGUCGGGUAUCAGAUGUACUGGAGUUCGACGUAGACGGUCUUUUCGGUAUCACCAGAAGUAAUGAUUUCUACAGUGUCUCGUAGAACUAUAUCUUAUCCGUGUCCGUAUCGUUCCCUGUUACUGACGGUUUCCCAGCCUUUGUGCAGUUAAAGGGGUACUUUGUUACAUGGAGAUCACGACAACACUUAGAAUGUCACAUUCAGGACAUCUGCUGGUCUUAUACCAACCGUACAAGCCAGUUACCAUGAACACUCUGUCUAGAUGGGUUCAUUGGUUGUUAUCGCUAGCGAGGGUGGAGACGUGUUUGGGU
rnacentral:lncRNA from 1 species